AGGGUUUGAUCCUGGCUCAGAUUGAACGCUGGCGGCAGGCUUAACACAUGCAAGUCGAGCGGUAACAUUCCUAGCUUGCUAGGAGAUGACGAGCGGCGGACGGGUGAGUAAUGCUUGGGAAUAUGCCAUAGGGUGGGGGACAACAGUUGGAAACGACUGCUAAUACCGCAUAAUGUUUUACUUUUAGCGAGUAGAACCAAAGGAGGGGCUCUUCGGACCUUUCGCCUUUUGAUUAGCCCAAGUGAGAUUAGCUAGUUGGUGAGGUAAUGGCUCACCAAGGCGACGAUCUCUAGCUGGUUUGAGAGGAUGAUCAGCCACACUGGGACUGAGACACGGCCCAGACUCCUACGGGAGGCAGCAGUGGGGAAUAUUGCACAAUGGGGGAAACCCUGAUGCAGCCAUGCCGCGUGUGUGAAGAAGGCCUUCGGGUUGUAAAGCACUUUCAGUUGUGAGGAAAGGUUAUUGCUUAAUACGUAAUAGCUGUGACGUUAGCAACAGAAGAAGCACCGGCUAACUCCGUGCCAGCAGCCGCGGUAAUACGGAGGGUGCGAGCGUUAAUCGGAAUUACUGGGCGUAAAGCGUGCGUAGGCGGUUAUUUAAGCAAGAUGUGAAAGCCCAGGGCUCAACCUUGGAACUGCAUUUUGAACUGGGUAACUAGAGUAUUGUAGAGGGUGGUGGAAUUUCCAGUGUAGCGGUGAAAUGCGUAGAGAUUGGAAGGAACAUCAGUGGCGAAGGCGGCCACCUGCACAAAUACUGACGCUGAGGCACGAAAGCGUGGGGAGCGAACAGGAUUAGAUACCCUGGUAGUCCACGCCGUAAACGAUGUCAACUAGCUGUCU
rnacentral:rRNA from 1 species